rnacentral:rRNA from 1 species
UGGGGAAUAUUGGACAAUGGGGGCAACCCUGAUCCAGCAAUGCCGCGUGAGUGAGGAAGGCCUUAGGGUUGUAAAGCUCUUUCGGCGGGGACGAUGAUGACGGUACCCGCAGAAGAAGCCCCGGCUAACUUCGUGCCAGCAGCCGCGGUAAUACGAAGGGGGCGAGCGUUGUUCGGAAUUACUGGGCGUAAAGGGCGCGCAGGCGGCUCUUCAAGUCAGGCGUGAAAGCCCCGGGCUCAACCUGGGAAUGGCGCUUGGGACUGAGGGGCUAGAGAUCGGGAGAGGAGCGUGGAAUUCCCAGUGUAGAGGUGAAAUUCGUAGAUAUUGGGAAGAACACCGGUGGCGAAGGCGGCGCUCUGGACCGAGACUGACGCUGAGGCGCGAAAGCGUGGGGAGCAAACAGGAUUAGAUACCCGCGUAGUCC